rnacentral:sRNA from 1 species
UCGCGCAACAUGAUGCCAGUAUGACUGGCGCUGGAAGCACCCACGGGUAUUUCAGGUCUAAAGCCACCCGUGAGGUGGCUUUUUGUUUUUAC